GAUCAAUAUAAAGAUUUUACGAUUAAGAUACUCCGUUUUCUCCGUCAUCGUCAAGUGUUGGCAAGGGGAGUCGGGGAAGGGGAGAAGAAAUGUGCUACAGAACGUUCUUCAUUGGCUAGAGACUUGGCCAAUCAAGGCACGAUAAUGUCUCGCGCCAUGUGUGAAUAUCGCCGUGGCACGAAAUUCGAUUAAUCAAUAUGCGGACACGUUUUACUGGUGCUGACGGGCAUCAUUUUUAAGGAUGAUGGUGGAAGAUUGCAUAACGUCAAAGGUGGAUGGAUGCAGAGAGGAAUUGUAAGACACGCAUAAGAUGCUCGAUACUAAUAAUCUGUGAAUACGUGUUACUGCUGCUGACGUUAAUCAUUUUUCCUUGUUUCGGCCUACAUAUAAGAAUGGUAACCUGACUGGAGGUACGUGCAUAAGUAUCAAAACGUAAAAUAUCUUUAUAUCUCCAUUCUUCCUUGUAACAUUUUGCAAACUAAUAACCUUUUAUUGCAUUUCUGUUCUUUUCUUGAUGGUGAGAAUGAAAGCGAAAGAUUGCAUGAUGUCAAAGUUGGAUGGAUUGUGAGAGGAAUGUAACGAGAAGCCACGCAUGAGAUGCUCGAUACUCUGUGGAUACGUAAUAAUCUGUGAAUACGUGUUACUGGUGCUGACGUUAAUCAUUUUUCCUUGUUUCGGCCUACAUAUAAGAAUGGUAACCUGACUGGAGCAUAUUCUUUGCUGUAUGGGCUGCUCUAAGCUACACUUCUCGACACAGCACUCUCUGCACUACUCGAAGAAAUGUCUGACUUACAAGCUUAAAGCAAACAAAAAGAUUUUCCUAAAUCAGUAAGUAAACCAUAAGUUACGACUAAUAUUGUGCAAUAUCUAUCUUGUGAUACUACUGAAGUAAUACAAUAAUGCUCGUUUAAUAAAUUCGUCAUUUCUUAUCAUCAGGUUUUCACGUAUAAUUCGCAUUCCGUUAUACUAAUUGAACAUCUUCGAUUGAGACGAAUUUUACGCGCAUCGAUUGUCGAAGGCGAAUGACUAUAUCGAUAAAACAUCGGACGUCUUUCAAGUGAGGGCUCCAAGUAAAAGUUGUAGCAAAGUACCAAUUACAAUUUUCAGCUCCAUCAUGACGAAUUAUUGACCUGUUAUGAGAAAACGCAUUAUAAUCUGCUUUGUACGCAACAAGAUAUUAUGAUCUCAAAA
rnacentral:lncRNA from 1 species